GACGAACGCUGGCGGCGUGCUUAACACAUGCAAGUCGAACGGAAAGGCCCUGCUGUUGUGGGGUGCUCGAGUGGCGAACGGGUGAGUAACAAGUGAGUAACCUGCCCUUGACUUUGGGAUAACUUCAGGAAAAUGGGGCUAAUACCGGAUAGGAGCUCCUGCUGCAUGGUGGGGGUUGGAAAGUUUCGGCGGUUGGGGAUGGACUCGCGGCUGAUCAGCUUGUUGGUGGGGUAGUGGCUUACCAAGGCUUUGACGGGUAGCCGGCCUGAGAGGGUGACCGGCCACAUUGGGACUGAGAUACGGCGCAGACUCCUACGGGAGGCAGCAGUGGGGAAUAUUGCACAAUGGGCGGAAGCCUGAUGCAGCAACGCCGCGUGCGGGAUGACGGCCUUCGGGUUGUAAACCGCUUUCGCCUGUGACGAAGCGUGAGUGACGGUAAUGUGUAAAGAAGCACCGGCUAACUACGUG
rnacentral:rRNA from 1 species